GAAAGAGGCUGACUUACAAGAAUCUGUUCCUGAGAGAUCCAGGCUAGGCCUUCAGUCAAUUUCCACUUUCCUUUGGACAUUUUCACUUUCGGGGCAUCUUGUUCUGAGUCAAGAUUCCUCUUUCUGGACAUGGGACUUUCCAGAAGAACCACAGUUCCGUCCGUGCAUCCACUUGGCGUGGGAUGUUCUGGAUUUCGGUUGUUGAGGGAGUUUGCCUGCCUCUCCAGAGAAGGGUGGCAUGUGGUCCCUGCAGAGUCUGCUCCUCUGGAAAGCACUGCUGCCCAUGGCAGUUACUGGUACCCAACUGCAGGGGCAGGUGGGGGGCUCGGUGCUGCUGAUGGCAGAGCGCCCCCCUGGAUUCCAAGUCCGCGAGGCCAUCUGGCGAUCUCUCUGGCCUUCGGAGGAGCUUCUGGCGACGUUUUUCCGGGGCUCCCUGGAGACUCUGUACCACUCCCGCUUCCUGGGCCGAGUCCAGCUGCACAGCAACCUCAGCCUGGAGCUCCAGCCACUGAUGUCUGGAGACAGUGGCAACUUCUCUGUGUUGCUGGUGGACACGGAGGGCCGGGCCCAGACCCAGACCCUGCAGCUGAAAGUGUAUGAUGCAGUGCCCAGGCCCGUGGUACAAGUGUUCAUCACUAAAACAGGGGAUGCCCAGCCCCCCAAGACCUGCCAAGUCUUCCUGUCCUGCUGGGCCCCCAACGUCAGUGAUGUGACCUACAGCUGGCGACAGGAGGGGCACAUUGGCUUUGGUCUCGAACCCCAGGGCCUCUUCAUGGAUGGACAAGUGCUUAGGGUUUCACUGGGACCUGGAGACAAGGGCGUGGCCUAUUCCUGCAUUGUCUCCAACCCUGUCAGCUGGGACUUGGUCACCGUCACCCCCUGGGAAAGCUGUCUCCGUGGGGCAGCACCAGGAAAGUCCUCCUACAAAGACGUGCUGCUGGUGGCGGUGCCAAUCUCGCUGUUCCUGGUCCUGGCCGGUCUCUUCUCUGUCUGGCACUAUGGCCCCUGCUCAGGUAGGAGCCCUGUGAGUACAGCAGGGAAAAAAAAGAAGGAAGUCUGUGCUGAUGACGUAGCUCCAGAAACAGAGAAUCCCCUUGUCUAGGGCCUGUCACAAGGGAGGAUAUAAGCUGACACGUGGAUCAUCAGGAAACCCACUGCUCAGGCACAUGAAGCUCUGGGGCAUCGCCAGUGCCUGGAAACCACCACAGUCUUAACAUCUCCUGGGAAUGUGCCUCCUGCCUCCCAGGAGCAGCGUGGGCGGCCAUCCCACUGGGAGGACAAAAAGCACCAGCACAACCUUCCACAACGUCCCCCUUGUCUCUCCCCACUUUGCAUGUCCUGGCUCUGCUCUGGGCAACAGGAGACUAACAGGAAGUCCCCUCAAGGACUCUGGAAGUUUAGGAUCCACAGGGACAUUGAUUCCCCAGAGCAUUUGCAACCUACACCACUCUAUAUAAAAUAUUAACCAACUGGAACCAAAGGAUGGCCUCCUGCCUGGGUCCUGAGCGCCAAAGAACAUGAGACAUUUGAUCUAAAAGUGACACUCUAUAUCACCCACCUCCAGCCCCAGGUCCAGCCCCUUCAAUAUAAGAUCUUGAUGCCCCUGACGACCAAGGCCUUCUCAUAGGAAAAGAUCUGGGGAAAAUGUGAUGGCAAGGGGUAGGGGGUAGGGGUUUCUCUUUCUGGCUUGAAGGACUUUCAUGUCAUCUGAGUUCACAGCCUCUCAGAGGUGAUUUGCAGUUAUGGACAACCAGGGGAUGGUUGACAUCUCAUGGUUGGAGUGGAUGCCAUUUUGCAAGUAAUCCUUAUUAACAUGCUCUCCAUCCCCUCCUGAACCUCCUGCAGGAUCUGGGAAUGGGGGUUAAGUUUAUCUCCUCACUCUCUAACACAGAGAUCUGGAAGAGGAUUUGAAUUUGCUCUGCCAACAGUAAGUUCUUGCACAACUUCAAGAAAAUCAGCUCAGCUCAGGAUGUGUCUGUCUUUCUGCCUGAGCCUGAGAGAGUAAGAAGCCAGGAGCUAAGCAGAAGAAAAAUCACGCAGGGAAAGGUUGGGAAGCAUCCUGGAAUCUGCCACACUCAUUUUCAGAAGCAAGGGCAGAAGAUCCAUACAAGUUCAAGGGGACAAGGACCCUACCACUCAGUGGGAAGAUGUUAAGGCCACUUUGAAAGAAGAGUAUGUGAGAUGGAAGCUACUAUCAUGGCCACCUUGAGAAAAUGUGAACGGACAGUGAGUGAUUUCAUCUAGGAAAGCUCUGGGCUAUUGCCACUCUGGAAAAAACUUGAUGAACUAAACUCACAUUUUGGGAUUAGUAGCUGAUAAGGUUCUGGAUUACUCCUUCCCCAGAGUAACUGAUGUUUUCUGGGACUUCACUCAAGUCUUGAUUAUGGCGAGGAAGGAGGCAUUGAAGAAACAGAGGAUGCCCAUAUAGGGAUCCAUCGUCACCUGAAACUCAGCUUCUAUAAAAAUGAGCUCAGUGAUUUUGCCUCAGUUUCCCACUCGAUGUCCUGCUUUUGUCAAGGGCUUCAGUCGCCUCCCUAGUGCUGGGUGUCCAUCCUGCCUGUCCUUCUAAAAUGCAUCCAAGAAGCUGCUGAGUGCAAUGGACACCGAGGGGUGGUAGAAGGCCAUCUUGUACACUCCCCACCUGCAGUCCCAGGGACCACUCCCAAGCUCGUCCAGAUUUCCUUGCCGGUGCAGUCCCUGGUCUCACACUCUUCCCUUCAGCACAUUCUUUGUAAUCUAACAACAGUUUUGUUUUCACGCACUAGGAAUAAAUGAAAUAAGUACUCAAGAUGUACUGGAUGGAUAAAGAGUGUAAACUCCAGAGCAGGGGGUUUCCCAGACUCCCACCAAGUGAGGGGAGCAAGCCGUGAGGAGGCUCCAUUUCCUAGGAAUCUUCUGGGGACAAGGUUAAAGUUCCAAUCCAGUCCCCGAUCUUCAGGAAAGCCACAGCAUAAACCCAUACAUGUCAAGUAGUUUCAUAACCCUGGAAGGACAGUGGUUGGGUAAUUCCCAAAACUCCCUUUUUUCCAGUGAGGUGAAAGAACUGAUCUCCACCCCCUCAGAGUCACCACACUCUGACUAGACCUAGAGUAAUUGAAAUGUGUCAGAGCAGCAUGCAUGCUAGUAGUUAUUCCAAUCAGAGUACAUAAAAGAAAAUUCAUUGUGACUCCAUGCCACUUAUGGUCUUGAGAAUUAGGGUCUUAAAAGAUGAUGACUAGAAGAUGACUUCCUUAAGCCUGGGAAGGAGGAUCAGAGAAGAAACUGAGUCAGUGAGGACUCAGAAGAGUCUCCUGAGGCUGGGUGCCCUCAGAGACAGAUUCAGGGAAAUUCUACAGAUGCCAAGUUAGGUUUCUGAUGCCCACUACUACAGUGGCCUAGAACCAAGGAGAUAUAAAUUAUCUAACUAAUUUUUUGGUAACCAGGAACUAGAAGUCAGCUUCAGCAAGACUGGAAAGAGAUGCAAACAGCAUAACCAGGAAAAGGAAUCGAGACAAACAACUUUGUGAUGUUUGUGUCUCUAGGAAAAAUAAAGAAAAAUCAGGACUGUACUUGUGUUUCCAUCUCUUGAGGGAGCCCUUGUGUGCACAGACUUCUUUUGUCUGAUGACAUGUUCGAACUAAAUUUUCCAAGCUGGUUUUUAAAUACAGCCAUUAUUAAAGAUUAAAUCCUAUCAACUUACAAUGAAAUGAAUCAUAUUAAACACAAAGGUGAUAAACACUCAAAACUCCUCAUUUCCUAUUUAUUUGACUACUGUUUACUAUUAUCUAAGCUCUUGAGUUUAUUUCCUUCCAUUGUGCCUGUAUUACGGAAAUACCAUACAAUGGUGAGCUGCUGCAUAUUUCUUCCAAGUCAACACCAGACAUCAUGUCAUAGCUUGAAAUCAGCCAUGAUGGGAGUAUUUAUAUCAUGGAAAUUGGCAAAUGCUACAAAUCAGGGCUUCCCCUCUCCCUCAUCAAAAGCCAACAGUUGUUGAUCACCAUACUGUGACUGCUAGAAGAAUUUCCUUAUUCUUGGAAAAUACAUACUGAAGUAUUUAUGAGAAAAAGGCCAAUAGGUAUGCAACUUACUUUCAAAUCAUUCAGAAAAAAAAUAGAGAGAGAGAAUAAUAAAACAAAUGGGAUAAAAUGUUGAUGACAGGAGAUUCUGGGUAAAGGGUAUAUAGUUUUGUUUUGUUUUGUUUUUUUUGUACUAUUCUUAUUCUUG